rnacentral:ncRNA from 2 species
AACAAAAGCACGGGGUGCCGUUAUGGCUGAGAUUAUACCCGAUACCUGAUUUGGAUAAUGCCAACGUAGGGAUUGCAAUGUGAAUCUUUG